CGAAAUUGGAAUCUAACUUUGUUUUGGACUAUGUCAAGUGUGAGUCCUAGUCGAAGUCGAGCUAGGGUCCGAUUUGAAAGGGAGAUUGUUAUGAUGCCAUGCUGUUUAUGAGAGGUGGCGUGUGUUCAUUGGUUCAAGUAUCAUUGUUUUGACUGCGAAACGUGGCAUUAUUAUGUUGGUUUGUUAUCUUUAAAUCAGGGAAUUGGUUUUUGGAUUGAGAUGUUAAACAGUUGGAUUAGGCGCUGAGUUUUCAGUAUAAUAUUCAUGGUUUCAUGGAAUAUUCGAACUACCCGGCAGAGGGGGCCCAAGCCCCAGGCGCGAGUCUCAGUGGGCUUUAGUUGCCCAGGCAAUUAGUGGGUCCCACAUAACUGGACAGGUCUAAAGGCAAAGCGAGUUUGAGCUCGUGAUUGGGCUAGUUGACGUCAAGACUGACAUUAGCAACGUAAUUUUUUUAAAAAAAAUAAAAAAGAAAUCUGGAAAAAUUCCAACAAAUUCAGAAACAUUUUUUUAAAACAUAUCUAGCAAUUUUAUUAUUACUAGCCCCUUCCCUUGUCAAUUGAUUUUUAUUUUUUAUUUUUUAUUUUUUAUUUUAUUUUUAGAAUUAAGAAAAUAUAAUAUGAGUAGUUAUGUUCCAUAAAAGUAUGAUUUAUUAUUUUAUUUUAUUGUUAAUUUUAAUUUUUUUAAUAUGAAAAAAUUUGAUUAAUAAUUUCAACCCUAAACCCUACAAUAUUAUCCUCAUUUAAUUAAUAAUUUCAAUUCUUAAUGUUUGAAUUAACCAAUGACAUUUUUUGGUAUUUUGAAUGUUUCACCA
rnacentral:lncRNA from 1 species